rnacentral:rRNA from 1 species
UGAUCAUGGCUCAGAUUGAACGCUGGCGGCAGGCCUAACACAUGCAAGUCGAGCGGAAACGACACUAACAAUCCUUCGGGUGCGUUAAUGGGCGUCGAGCGGGGGACGGGUGAGUAAUGCCGAGGAAAUUGCCUUGAUGUGGGGGAUAACCAUUGGAAACGAUGGCUAAUACCGCAUAAUGCCUACGGGCCAAAGAGGGGGACCUUCGGGCCUCUCGCGUCAAGAUAUGCCUAGGUGGGAUUAGCUAGUUGGUGAAGUAAUGGCUCACAAAGGGGACGAUCCCUAGCUGGUCUGAGAGGAUGAUCAGCCACACUGGAACUGAGACACGGUCCAGACUCCUACGGGAGGCAGCAGUGGGGAAUAUUGCACAAUGGGGGAAAGCCUGAUGCAGCCAUGCCGCGUGUAUGAAGAAGGCCUUCGGGUUGUAAAGUACUUUCAGUUGUGAGGAAGGGGGUAGCGUUAAUAGCGCUAUCUCUUGACGUUAGCAACAGAAGAAGCACCGGCUAACUCCGUGCCAGCAGCCGCGGUAAUACGGAGGGUGCGAGCGUUAAUCGGAAUUACUGGGCGUAAAGCGCAUGCAGGUGGUUCAUAAAGUCAGAUGUGAAAGCCCGGGGCUCAACCUCGGAACUGCAUUUGAAACUGGUGAACUAGAGUACUGAAGAGGGGGGUAGAAUUUCAGGUGUAGCGGUGAAAUGCGUAGAGAUCUGAAGGAAUACCGGUGGCGAAGGCGGCCCCCUGGACAGAUACUGACACUCAGAUGCGAAAGCGUGGGGAGCAAACAGGUUUAGAUACCCUGGUAGUCCACGCCGUAAACGAUGUCUACUUGGAGGUUGUGGCCUUGAGCCGUGGCUUUCGGAGCUAACGCGUUAAGUAGACCGCCUGGGGAGUACGGUCGCAGAUUAAACUCAAUGAAUUGACGGGGCCCGCACAGCGUGGAGCAUGUGGUUUAUUCGAUGCACGCGAGACUUUCUACUCUU